UUGACAGCCCUUAAAAAGUGAAGUCCCCUCUUUAACUAAAGGACAAGAACAGCACUGGCAAAGCAAACUUACCCCCACUACCCAGCCAAUGUACCUCAACUCUGACCUGGAGGGACUACCUCUAGUGAGGAGAGGACAGUUCAGUCUCUGGCUGUAUCUAUUAGGUCUCU
ensembl:misc_RNA